UCGCUUUGGCAACACACAUACUAAAAUUGGAAUGAUAUACAAAUUAGCAUGGCCCCAGUAAAAGGAUGACAUACUUUUGAUUUCUUU
ensembl:snRNA predicted gene, 22989